CCUACGGGAGGCAGCAGUCGGGAAUUUUGGGCAAUGGGCGAAAGCCUGACCCAGCAACGCCGCGUGAAGGAUGAAAUCCCUCGGGAUGUAAACUUCGCAAGAACGGGAAGAAUAAGUUUGUGCUAAUACCACAAGCGAUGACGGUACUGUUUGUAAGCUCCGGCUAACUCCGUGCCAGCAGCCGCGGUAAUACGGGGGGAGCAAGCGUUGUUCGGAUUUACUGGGCGUAAAGGGCGCGUAGGCGGCCUCCGCAAGUCAGUUGUGAAAUCUCCGAGCUUAACUCGGAAAGGUCAACUGAUACUGCGGGGCUAGAGUGCGGAAGGGGCAACUGGAAUUCUUGGUGUAGCGGUGAAAUGCGUAGAUAUCAAGAGGAACACCUGCGGCGAAGGCGGGUUGCUGGGCCGACACUGACGCUGAGGCGCGAAAGCUAGGGGAGCGAACGGGAUUAGAUACCCCGGUAGUCCUAGCCUUAAACGAUGAAUGCUUGGUGUCUGGGGUUAUAUAGUCCCCGGGUGCCGUCGCUAACGCUUUAAGCAUUCCGCCUGGGGAGUACGGUCGCAAGACUGAAACUCAAAGGAAUUGACGG
rnacentral:rRNA from 1 species